UACGGAGGGUGCAAGCGUUAUCCGGAUUUAUUGGGUUUAAAGGGUCCGUAGGCGGACCUGUAAGUCAGUGGUGAAAUCUCAUAGCUUAACUAUGAAACUGCCAUUGAUACUGCAGGUCUUGAGUAAAUUUGAAGUGGCUGGAAUAAGUAGUGUAGCGGUGAAAUGCAUAGAUAUUACUUAGAACACCAAUUGCGAAGGCAGGUCACUAAGAUUUAACUGACGCUGAGGGACGAAAGCGUGGGGAGCGAACAGGAUUAGAUACCCCCGUAGUCC
rnacentral:rRNA from 1 species